UACGAAGGGGGCUAGCGUUGCUCGGAAUCACUGGGCGUAAAGCGCACGUAGGCGGAUUGCUAAGUCAGGGGUGAAAUCCUGGAGCUCAACUCCAGAACUGCCUUUGGUACUGGCGAUCUCGAGUCCGGGAGAGGUGAGUGGAACUGCGAGUGUAGAGGUGAAAUUCGUAGAUAUUCGCAAGAACCCCAGUGGCGAAGGCGGCUCACUGGCCCGGUACUGACGCUGAGGUGCGAAAGCGUGGGGAGCAAACAGG
rnacentral:rRNA from 1 species